rnacentral:tRNA from 1 species
GCUUAAGUAGUUUAAAUAAAACGUUGGUUUGUGGGGCCAAAAAUGUAAUUUUUUAUCUUGGGCA